rnacentral:rRNA from 1 species
UACGAAGGGUGCAAGCGUUAAUCGGAAUUACUGGGCGUAAAGGGUGCGUAGGCGGUUCGUUAAGUCUGUUGUGAAAUCCCCGAGCUCAACUUGGGAAUUGCAAUGGAUACUGGCAGGCUGGAGUAUGGUAGAGGAAGGUGGAAUUCCCGGUGUAGCAGUGAAAUGCGUAGAGAUCGGGAGGAACACCGUUGGGGAAGGCGGCCUUCUGGACCAAUAUUGACGUUCAGCCACAAAGGCGUGGGAGCAAACAGG